rnacentral:misc_RNA from 1 species
GCUUUACCACGCACAACUUUCAGGUGAGAAGAGAAGAGGGAAAAUGACGGUAGCAGCAGGAAUCGGAUACGCCCUGCUUGCUUUAGGACCUUCUCUUUCACUCUUCGUCUCUGUUAUCUCCAAGAAGCCGUUCUUGAUCCUCACUGUUCUCUCCAGUACUCUGUUAUGGCUUGUAAGUCUCAUUGUGCUUUCGGGAGUUUGGAGGGCAUUUCUUCCUCUAAAAUCAACAGUAUGGUGGCCAUACGCAUUACUUAUAGUUUCAUCAGUAAGUUUCCAGGAAGGGCUUCGGAUUCUUUUUUGGAAAGUUUACAAGCGGUUGGAAGACAUAUUGGAUGCUUUUGCUGAUAGGGUCUCCAAACCACGCUUAUUUCUGACAGAUAAGAUGCUGAUUGCUUUAGCUGGUGGUUUAGGUCAUGGUGUAGCCCAUGCUGUGUUUUUCUGUCUUAGCCUUUUAACACCAGCAUUUGGCCCAGCGACAUUCUUUGUUGAUAGUUGUUCACAGAUUCCAUUUUUUCUUGUUUCUGCUAUUAUUGCGCUUGCAUUCGUUACAAUUCACACUUUCUCAAUGGUCAUCGCAUUUAAUGGGUAUGCAGAAGGGAACAGAAUAGACCAAUUUUUUGUCCCCAUAGUUCAUCUUGUUGCAGGAUUGGUGACACUGGCCAAUUUUGCAUAUGGGGGUUGCAUUGUUGGGAUUCCUCUUCUUUAUCUCAUGGCACUAUUAACCUUAUUGCAUUGUGGGAAAAUGGUGUGGAGAAGAUUAACAGAAAAUGGAAGCACGCAGUGAUUAAUAGUGAACAUAUGUUUGUAAAGUCUCAUCAUCUUUAUUCCAGUCAAUAGUGUGAAUUCCUCCUGUGGAAUAGUACAAUCAAGAGCACCGAAGACUUUACCUUGCAGAUGAAAGACGUGUUUUGCGAGUACACUGCAGGAUCCAAGUACGUACGUUAUUCAAGCUUUAUCAUUACAAAAACCCAGAAGCUCCUGAGACUCAUUCAAAGAUGAUGUUUUGUAAUAGAUUAUGCAGCUCAAGUCCUAAUAUGAAUUCCUAUUUCAGCUUGAAAUCCUUAACUUGCUUUGUGGGAAGAUAAUUUAUAUUGCAAUCGAAUUGUGUAACAUGGUGCCUUACACAUCCUACUCUAAGCACAAUGAUCGACUCUUUCUUCCUCAUCAGAAGAGCUAGAAAGCAUGUCUUCCUUCUUUAUUUCUAUAGUUAUCCAACUCAAUCCAAUAUAGAAACAUGAUUUUACUUGUAAAACAACUACUUCCUUUUGAAUUAAUUUUGUUUAAUUAAACCAUGAAAAAAAAAAAAAAGAACUUGCAGCGUUAUUUUGACCGAUCCAAAGGGUGCGAUUAUUUUAUGAACCACCCUGAUUUCUACAUGCUCACUUCCUGGCAACUCUGGUCUGAGGUUUCCAACAUGUCGUAAUGACCAUAUCCAUGAAAAAGCACAUUAAUGGGAUUUGCUUGAUCCUUCCCAUACUCUUCACCAUAAUUUGCUAUGUUUACCAAAUUACCUGAUGUCCUAUCUAUCAUGAAGACUGAAAUCAUAGUCCUGAGCCAUUGAGUGAAAAGAUUUGUCAAUUUUUGAGGUCACAAGUAAAAUGAAAUUUAUAACAAUUCAAACUCAGUAAGCAAGUUCAAUUAUGAUGAUGAGAGCAUUUUUGAACAAUCGAUUGAAAAACAACAGAAUUCUUUUUGCAUCGACAUCAUUCAAUAGCAUAUCGUUUGAUUUAAUUGCCAUCCUAUCAAGAAAAUUGAAGCAACAACAAUUUUGCAAGAUUGUCAAAAUUUCUCCCUUACCAUUAAACGGCAGCAAAAAUGGAACAAGUAUAAACUUCCAGCUCAAACACAUGUAAUAGAAAUUGCAUACUCUGAAACACAAUGGAAUGAUACAGAUACCUAAGGCCAAUUAUUAUCUUGGAGAUACUUUGAGAAAAACUAAUAAUGGACAAUCAGGGAUUGGCUAGAAAAUUGUGUGUAAAGUGUAAACUGCUCCAAAUUCGUGCUAUAGCAAUCAAAGCAUAUGAAAAUAUAAGAAACAGUUUAGAACUCACUUCAAAACAUGUGAAGCCAUGAGCAACUCAGGUUCUCCACCCCAUACAUAAGGUUGUUGAAUUCUCUUGACAUAUGCAUCAAAAUCUCCUUCUAUAAACCUAAAUUGAUUACAAUCGAAAAAAAAAUCAAAAUAAAUAUCAUUCAAAUCCAUUUUUCAUUAGCCAAUAACAGGAAGCUUGCAAAUUCUACUAAAACAGAGCUUACCAUUCAGUUUCUUCACGCCUCUUUAAAAGCUCAUCCACCACCUACAAAAUCUAAUGUUAGUUAUCAAUGGCAGAAGAUAUCUAUGCAUAUAUAGAGAGAGGGUAAUGUUGAGUUCUCUUAUCAAUAUGAAACUUACUCGAGCUCUUAGUUCAUCAGCGAGUUCUCUUUGGCGAUUUUCAUCAGGGGCUUCUUCCCCACUUCUCAAACAAGCACUGUGAGCUAUUGCUCUAAACAAGCAUCGCCCAUCAGCCAGCACUCCUGUGACCUUAAAAUCAGCAGAAUUGUCAUUUUUCACAUCAGAACUAUAAAUCCCACUUGGAUCAGUCUUCACAUCAGCAGCAACGCUCUCGGGAUUAACGUCGGCCCAAAAAUCAAUGGGCGCUAGACACGCACAAACGCCGAACAGUAGCCAAGCAGAGUCAGGCCGAUGGAGCCAGCGAGCAGGCCUCGCAUCCCAUGCGACGUUCCACGAUCCUUCUCCUCUGGGUUCAGCCAGCAGCCGCCGUGCACUACUCCUCCCGUUAAAUCCUGAUGGCUGGAUCGCAUGCCAUAUGGAGGCGACGCCACCACUGGAAGCGACGAGACGACAGGCGCUGGAGUGGUGGCGCUGCCGAGAGGAGAUGCAGGAAUCGCCAAAGUGUAUAGGAGUAUGCAGUCGGGUGUAGUGAGCUGAUGAAAAGCCGUAGAAGUGCGUGAGAGAGGUGAGGAUCCAAGGCUUUGGGCGUGCACAGAGUACACCGAGCAUAGCAGUGGUAGUUGAUGCUAUUUUGCGCCUGAGUUAAACUUAGCACGCACCCAUAGCUUCAAAAGGCUACAAGCUUUAUAUUAAGAGAGCUAUGCCGAUGAAAAUUUUGUAGGUGACAGUACUUUUUAUUUUUUUGGGUGUUUUU